rnacentral:rRNA from 1 species
AGUAACACGUGGGUAACCUGCCCCGAUGAUUGGGACAACCCGAGGAAACUCGAGCUAAUACCAAAUGUGCCCUCCGGCCUCAAGGCCGCUGGGGAAAGGAAGCUUCGGCCUCCGCAUCGGGAUGGGCCCGCGGCCCAUUAGCUUGUUGGUGAGGUAACGGCUCACCAAGGCAACGAUGGGUAGCUGGUCUGAGAGGACGAUCAGCCACACUGGGACUGAGACACGGCCCAG